CACUCUAGAGAGACUGCCAGGGAUAACCUGGAGGAAGGUGGGGAUGACGUCAAAUCAUCAUGCCCCUUAUGCUUAGGGCUACACACGUGCUACAAUGGGUAGUACAGAGGGUUGCCAAGCCGUAAGGUGGAGCUAAUCCCUCAAAGCUAAUCUCAGGUCGGUUUGUAGGCGGAAACGCGCCUGCAUGAAGCUGGAGUUACUAGUCAUCGCAGAUCAGAAUGCUGCGGGGAAUGCGUUCCCGGGUCUUGUACACACCGCCCGUCACACCACGGGCGUUGGAGACGCCCGAAGCCGAUUAUCUAACCUUUUGGAAGAAGUCGUCGAAGGUGGAAUCAAUAACUGGGGUGAAGUCGUAACAAGGUAGCCGUAUCGGAAGGUGCGGCUGGAUCACCUCCUUUCUAAGGAGA
rnacentral:rRNA from 1 species